AGUGAACGCUGGCGGUAGGCCUAACACAUGCAAGUCGAACGGCAGCACAGUAAGAGCUUGCUCUUACGGGUGGCGAGUGGCGGACGGGUGAGGAAUACAUCGGAAUCUACUUUUUCGUGGGGGCUAACGUAGGGAAACUUACGCUAAUACCGCAUACGACCUACGGGUGAAAGCAGGGGAUCUUCGGACCUUGCGCGAUUGAAUGAGCCGAUGUCGGAUUAGGUAGUUGGCGGGGUAAAGGCCCACCAAGGCGACGAUCCGUAGCUGGGCUGAGAGGAUGGUCGCCCGCCAGGGAAGUUGGACACCGGCCAGGCUCCUACGGGAGGGAGCAGUGGGGAACAUUGGGCAAUGGGGGGAAACCUGAUCCAACCAGACCGCGUCGGUUAAAGAAGCCUUCGGGUUGUAAAGCCCUUUUGUUGGGAAAGAAAAGCAGCAGGUUAAUACCCCGCUGUUCUGACGGUACCCAAAGAAUAAGCACCGGCUAACUUCGUG
rnacentral:rRNA from 1 species